ACGUACGCUGCGGCACGCCUAACACAUGCAAGUCGAACGAAGUAGCAAUACUUAGUGGCAGACGGGUGAGUAACAUGUAGGUAUCUGCCCUUUGGCCUGGAAUAACACGAGGAAACUUGUGCUAAUACCGGAUAAGUCUUUACGGAGAAAGCUUUAUGCACCAUUGGAUGAGCCUGCACUUGAUUAGUUUGUUGGUGGGGUAAUGGCCUACCAAGACUGUGAUCAAUAGCUGAUUUGAGAGGAUGAUCAGCCACAUUGGGACUGAGACACGGCCCAAACUCCUACGGGAGGCAGCAGUGGGGAAUCUUGCACAAUGGAGGAAACUCUGAUGCAGCGAUGCCGCGUGAGUGAAGAAGGCCCUUGGGUUGUAAAGCUCUUUCGUCGGGGAAGAAAAUGACUGUACCCGAAUAAGAAGGUCCGGCUAACUUCGUGCCAGCAGCCGCGGUAAUACGAAGGGACCUAGCGUAGUUCGGAAUUACUGGGCUUAAAGAGUUCGUAGGUGGUUGAAAAAGUUAGUGGUGAAAUCCCAGAGCUUAACUCUGGAACUGCCAUUAAAACUUUUCAGCUAGAGUAUGAUAGAGGAAAGCAGAAUUUCUAGUGUAGAGGUGAAAUUCGUAGAUAUUAGAAAGAAUACCAAUUGCGAAGGCAGCUCUCUGGAUCAUUACUGACCACUGA
rnacentral:rRNA from 1 species